rnacentral:misc_RNA from 1 species
UCCGAGUUGACCCCGGCAGUCUCCCAUGAGUCCCCGCCAUUACGCGCUGGCAACAUGGAACGAGGGUUGCGCUCGUUGCGGGACUUAACCCAACAUCUCACGACACGAGCUGACGACAGCCAUGCAGCACCUCGACUACAGUCUCUUGCGAGAAGUCCCUGUUUCCAAGGAUUGUCCAUAGCCGUUCGAGCCCAGGUAAGGUUCUUCGCGUUGCGUCGAAUUGAUCCACAUGCUCCGCCGCUUGUGCGGGCCCCCGUCAAUUCCUUUGAGUUUCAGCCUUGCGGCCGUACUCCCCAGGCGGGGCACUUAAUGCGUUAGCGACGACACUCAGGGGGUCGCUCCCCCAAGCAUCUAGUGCCCAUCGUUUACGACGUGGACUAC